AUAUCUUGAUCUUUUCUUUUUCUGACUGACAUUUUGUUUAUAUUCCUUAGAAAAGGAUCAAAACCGUUCUUGUUGAAUUUCUGAAACUGCAAUAUUAAAAAAAAGGUAUAAAGUCCAUCUGGUGUUACCCUUCAGUAACAUGCUCAUGCUGAAGAUGGCUGUCCAUAAAGAAAAGGAAUCUGGGCCCCUGAUGACGUCAUGAAACCACAAUAUUACGAUUUAAGGCACUGUUUCUAAGUUUUUGUUACUCAUGCUUAACAUGUUACUCAUGAUUAACUCAUG
rnacentral:lncRNA from 10 species